CGUGGGGAUGACGGCCUUCGGGUUGUAAACCUCUUUCAGCAGGGAAGAAGCGCAAGUGACGGUACCUGCAGAAGAAGCACCGGCCUAAACUACGUGC
rnacentral:rRNA from 1 species